UACGGGGGGAGCAAGCGUUGUUCGGAUUUACUGGGCGUAAAGGGCGCGUAGGCGGCCACGACAAGUCAGUUGUGAAAUCUCUGGGCUUAACUCAGAACGGUCAACUGAUACUGUCGGGCUAGAGUGCAGAAGGGGCAGCUGGAAUUCUCGGUGUAGCGGUGAAAUGCGUAGAUAUCGAGAGGAACACCUGCGGCGAAGGCGGGUUGCUGGGCUGACACUGACGCUGAGGCGCGAAAGCUAGGGGAGCAAACGGG
rnacentral:rRNA from 1 species